rnacentral:rRNA from 1 species
GGUAGUCCACCCCGUAAACGUUGGGAACUAGUUGUGGGGACCAUUCCACGGUUUCCGUGACGCAGCUAACGCAUUAAGUUCCCCGCCUGGGGAGUACGGCCGCAAGGCUAAAACUCAAAGGAAUUGACGGGGACCCGCACAAGCGGCGGAGCAUGCGGAUUAAUUCGAUGCAACGCGAAGAACCUUACCAAGGCUUGACAUACACCAGAACGGGCCAGAAAUGGUCAACUCUUUGGACACUGGUGAACAGGUGGUGCAUGGUUGUCGUCAGCUCGUGUCGUGAGAUGUUGGGUUAAGUCCCGCAACGAGCGCAACCCUCGUUCUAUGUUGCCAGCACGUAAUGGUGGGAACUCAUGGGAUACUGCCGGGGUCAACUCGGAGGAAGGUGGGGAUGACGUCAAAUCAUCAUGCCCCUUAUGUCUUGGGCUUCACGCAUGCUACAAUGGCCGGUACAAAGGGCUGCAAUACCGUGAGGUGGAGCGAAUCCCAAAAAGCCGGUCCCAGUUCGGAUUGAGGUCUGCAACUCGACCUCAUGAAGUCGGAGUCGCUAGUAAUCGCAGAUCAGCAACGCUGCGGUGAAUACGUUCCCGGGUCUUGUACACACCGCCCGUCAAGUCAUGAAAGUCGGUAACACCUGAAGCCGGUGGCCCAACCCUUGUGGAGGGAGCCGUCGAAGGUGGGAUCGGUAAUUAGGACUAAGUCGUAACAAGGUAGCCGUAGGGGAACCUGC